rnacentral:rRNA from 1 species
CGUCGCCGCGGUAAAACGUAGGUGGCAAGCGUUGUCCGGAAUUAUUGGGCGUAAAGGGCUCGCAGGCGGUUUCUUAAGUCUGAUGUGAAAGCCCCCGGCUCAACCGGGGAGGGUCAUUGGAAACUGGGAAACUUGAGUGCAGAAGAGGAGAGUGGAAUUCCACGUGUAGCGGUGAAAUGCGUAGAGAUGUGGAGGAACACCAGUGGCGAAGGCGACUCUCUGGUCUGUAACUGACGCUGAGGCUCGAAAGCGUGGGGAGCAAACAGGAUUAGAUACCCGCGUAGUCCCUGUCUCUUAUACA